AGGAGCCCAGCGAGGGUGCCUACAAGAGGAGUCAAAGGGCAAAGGUCCUGGGGUACUUAGCACCGUGGCAUAUCUGUAAUAAGCACAUGCACACCUCGAAGGAGGUCUUCACUUCAACAUACAAGUUGACCAUGGCAUGCUCUGGGCUCCAGUCCUCUACAAAGAUGUAGGGCAGGAACUACCAGUUGUCAGCACAGCACCAUCCCACAUUGCUCUUCUAAUGGAGACUUUCACCCCAGAUGUUCUUUCUCGUCUGAUGGGAAGGAUCCAAAUGAAAAAAUUGAGGCUCAAAGAAGUCCACCAAAUUGAGAGUGAAGUAGGGGAAACAGCAUUUAACGCUUACAUUCUAAUGAUUUGUGUAAGAGCAGCAGGACAAGCUAUACAAAGAAAAAGGUGGAAUUAUCAGGAUGGAAUUAAAGAUGCUUCCAAACAGAGGGGAUAUCUCAAGCCAUGACUCAGAGGGAGUGCUGAUGUUGCUACCAGCUUCAGAAGAUGUUUCAAAUCUGGUUGUGGAGUCAUUCUAUUUCCAAUUAAGCAGUGGGGGGAUUCAAUUACAAGCUGUGGGAAGCGAAGAGUUUGUGUCAAUAAACCAGCAGUGGUA
ensembl:lncRNA novel transcript